rnacentral:rRNA from 1 species
GGAUCAUUGUCGAAAUCGAACGGAAGAACGACCCGCGAAUCGUCAUUGCGUAAUAGACAGAGCCCGUGAGCACCUAACGCUCACGGGUCUCGCGUCGCGUCGGCGCGGGUGUACUGGAGACCCGCGUCGUACCGGCGGACAAACAACGUCAGCACGGAUCGUGCCAAGGAAAUGCAUGGAGAGAAUCGUCGUCCCACGCCUUUGAUAGUCCUCGACGCGGGACGGGGGAUGUACGCAAUCUCUACUCAAGUCUAAACGACUCUCGGCAACGGAUAUCUCGGCUCUUGCAUCGAUGAAGAACGUAGCGAAAUGCGAUACUUGGUGUGAAUUGCAGAAUCCCGUGAACCAUCAAUUCUUUGAACGCAAGUUGCGCCCGAAGCCAUUCGGCCGAGGGCACGCCUGCCUGGGCGUCGUGAAUCCCCUUGCCCCUAGGCACCCGCAUGAGCAUUGGCGGGGAUAUAUGCUCGGGCGCAGAAUAUGGUCUCCCGUGGGAUCGGCAUGCACGGCAUGCCGAGGUGCGGUUGGCCGAAAAUCGAGCAUGGCGGUGACGGGCACCACGGCGUUCGGUGGAUCGAACGAGAUUGGCUGCGUCGUGGGCUCGGCAUGCGGCGGGCUCCGGACUUUUAAUAUCCCCGAGUGCGAUCCCAGGUCAGGCGGGGCUACCCGCUGAGUUUAAGCAUAUCAAUAAGCGGAGGAAAAGAAACUAACGAGGAUUCCCUUAGUAGCGGC